rnacentral:rRNA from 1 species
AUUGAACGCUGGCGGCAUGCUUUACACAUGCAAGUCGAACGGUAACAGGCCGCAAGGUGCUGACGAGUGGCGAACGGGUGAGUAAUGUAUCGGAACGUGCCCAGUCGUGGGGGAUAACGCAGCGAAAGCUGUGCUAAUACCGCAUACGACCUAUGGAUGAAAGCGGGGGACCGUAAGGCCUCGCGCGAUUGGAGCGGCAGAUAUCAGAUUAGGUAGUUGGUGGGGUAAAGUCUCACCAAGCCGACGAUCUGUAGCUGGUCUGAGAGGACGACCAGCCACACUGGGACUGAGACACGGCCCAGACUCCUACGGGAGGCAGCAGUGGGGAAUUUUGGACAAUGGGCGCAAGCCUGAUCCAGCAAUGCCGCGUGCAGGACGAAGGCCUUCGGGUUGUAAACUGCUUUUGUACGGAGCGAAACGGCCCUCUCUAAUAAAGAGGGCUAAUGACGGUACCGUAAGAAUAAGCACCGGCUAACUACGUGCCAGCCGCCGCAGUAA